GAGGGCAUAGCUCAGUGGUAGAGUGUGUGCUUAGCACACGAGAGGUCUGGGUUCAAUCCCCAGUACCUCCA
rnacentral:tRNA from 1 species